UACGAGGGGAGCAAGCGUUGUUCGGAUUUACUGGGCGUAAAGGGCGCGUAGGCGGCUCAACAAGUCACUUGUGAAAUCUCCGGGCUUAACUCGGAACGGUCAAGUGAUACUGUCGAGCUAGAGUACAGAAGGGGCAACUGGAAUUCUCGGUGUAGCGGUGAAAUGCGUAGAUAUCGAGAGGAACACCUGCGGCGAAGGCGGGUUGCUGGGCUGAUACUGACGCUGAGGCACGAAGGCCAGGGGAGCAAACGGG
rnacentral:rRNA from 1 species